AAGAUGCCGUACUGUUCCCGCGAUUGUCAGGAGAGAGACUGGAAGAAGGGACACAAGAGUCUGUGUCUCGAUGUAAGUGAGAUGAAAAAAUGUUC